rnacentral:rRNA from 1 species
CAGCCGCCGCGGUAAUUCGGAGGGUGCAAGCGUUAAUCGGAAUUACUGGGCGUAAAGCGCACGCAGGCGGUUUGUUAAGUCAGAUGUGAAAUCCCCGGGCUCAACCUGGGAACUGCAUCUGAUACUGGCAAGCUUGAGUCUCGUAGAGGGGGGUAGAAUUCCAGGUGUAGCGGUGAAAUGCGUAGAGAUCUGGAGGAAUACCGGUGGCGAAGGCGGCCCCCUGGACGAAGACUGACGCUCAGGUGCGAAAGCGUGGGGAGCAAACAGGAUUAGAUACCCUGGUAGUCCACGCCGUAAACGAUGUCGACUUGGAGGUUGUGCCCUUGAGGCGUGGCUUCCGGAGCUAACGCGUUAAGUCGACCGCCUGGGGAGUACGGCCGCAAGGUUAAAACUUAAAUGAAUUGACGG